UAGGGAAUAUUAGACAAUGGGCGAAAGCCUGAUCCAGCAACGCCGCGUGUGCGGUGACGGCCUUCGGGUUGUAAAGCACUUUUAGAGGAGAUGAGAAAGGACAGUAUCCUCUGAAUAAGCCUCGGCUAACUACGUGCCAGCAGCCGCGGUAAAACGUAGGAGGCAAGCGUUAUCCGGAUUUACUGGGCGUAAAGCGCAUGCAGGUGGUCUCGCAAGUUGGAUGUGAAAGCUCCUGGCUUAACUGGGAGAGGUCGUUCAAUACUUCCGGACUUGAGAGUGGGAGAGGGAGGUGGAAUUCCGGGUGUAGUGGUGAAAUGCGUAGAUAUCCGGAGGAACACCAGUGGCGAAAGCGGCCUCCUGGCCCAUUUCUGACGCUCAGACGCGAAAGCUAGGGUAGCAAACG
rnacentral:rRNA from 1 species